AUUGAACGCUGGCGGCAGGCUUAACACAUGCAAGUCGAACGAGCGGCGGACGGGUGAGUAAUGUCUGGGAAACUGCCUGAUGGAGGGGGAUAACUACUGGAAACGGUGGCUAAUACCGCAUACCAUCAGAUGUGCCCAGAUGGGAUUAGCUAGUAGGUGGGGUAAUGGCUCACCUAGGCGACGAUCCCUAGCUGGUCUGAGAGGAUGACCAGCCAAACUGGAACUGUGAAACGGUCCAGCCGCCUACGGGAGGCAGCAGUGGGGAAUAUUGGACAAUGGGCGCAAGCCUGACGCAGCCAUGCCGCGUGUGGGAAGAAGGCCUUCGGGUUGUAAAGCACUUUCAGCGAGGAGGCGGUACUCGCAGAAGAAGAACCGGCUAACUCCGUGCCAGCAGCCGCGGUAAUUC
rnacentral:rRNA from 1 species